rnacentral:rRNA from 1 species
CCUACGGGAGGCAGCAGUGGGGAAUUUUCCGCAAUGGGCGAAAGCCUGACGGAGCAACGCCGCGUGAGGGAUGAAGGCCUCUGGGCUGUAAACCUCUUUUAUCAAGGAAGAAGAUCUGACGGUACUUGAUGAAUAAGCCACGGCUAAUUCCGUGCCAGCAGCCGCGGUAAUACGGGAGUGGCAAGCGUUAUCCGGAAUUAUUGGGCGUAAAGCGUCCGCAGGCGGUCUUGUAAGUCUGUCGUUAAAGCGUGGAGCUCAACUCCAUUUCGGCGGUGGAAACUACAGGACUAGAGUGUGGUAGGGGCAGAGGGAAUUCCCGGUGUAGCGGUGAAAUGCGUAGAUAUCGGGAAGAACACCAGUGGCGAAGGCGCUCUGCUGGGCCAUAACUGACGCUCAUGGACGAAAGCUAGGGGAGCGAAAGGGAUUAGAUACCCCUGUAGUCCUAGCCGUAAACGAUGAACACUAGGUGUCGGGGGAAUCGACCCCCUCGGUGUCGUAGCUAACGCGUUAAGUGUUCCGCCUGGGGAGUACGCACGCAAGCGUGAAACUCAAAGGAAUUGACGGCUGNGANGCGAGCGACACGAGGAGAGG